rnacentral:rRNA from 1 species
UACGUAGGGUGCGAGCGUUAAUCGGAAUUACUGGGCGCAAAGCGUGCGCAGGCGGCUUUGCAAGACAGAUGUGAAAUCCCCGGGCUUAACCUGGGAACUGCAUUUGUGACUGCAUGGCUGGAGUGCGGCAGAGGGGGAUGGAAUUCCGCGUGUAGCAGUGAAAUGCGUAGAUAUGCGGAGGAACACCGAUGGCGAAGGCAAUCCCCUGGGCCUGCACUGACGCUCAUGCACGAAAGCGUGGGGAGCAAACAGG